rnacentral:miRNA from 1 species
AGGGCUUAACCCACCUGUGAGCA